rnacentral:rRNA from 1 species
CGUGUCGUGAGAUGUUGGGUUAAGUCCCGCAACGAGCGCAACCCUUAUGACUAGUUGCCAGCAUUCAGUUGGGCACUCUAGUAAGACUGCCGGUGACAAACCGGAGGAAGGUGGGGACGACGUCAAAUCAUCAUGCCCCUUAUGACCUGGGCUACACACGUGCUACAAUGGCCGGUACAACGAGUCGCCAACCCGCGAGGGUGCGCUAAUCUCUUAAAGCCGGUCUCAGUUCGGACUGCAGGCUGCAACUCGCCUGCACGAAGUCGGAAUCGCUAGUAAUCGCGGAUCAGCAUGCCGCGGUGAAUACGUUCCCGGGCCUUGUACACACCGCCCGUCACACCAUGAGAGUUUGUAACACCCGAAGCCGGUGGGGUAACCCUUUCGAGGGAGCUAGCCGUCUAAGGUGGGACAGAUGAUUAGGGU